rnacentral:rRNA from 1 species
UACGUAGGGCGCAAGCGUUGUCCGGAAUUAUUGGGCGUAAAGAGCUCGUAGGCGGUCUGUCGCGUCGGCUGUGAAAACCCGAGGCUCAACCUCGGGCCUGCAGUCGAUACGGGCAGACUAGAGUGCUGUAGGGGAGACUGGAAUUCCUGGUGUAGCGGUGAAAUGCGCAGAUAUCAGGAGGAACACCGGUGGCGAAGGUGGGUCUCUGGGCCGUAACUGACGCUGGAGGAGCGAAAGCGUGGGAGCGAACAGG